GAUGAAGAACGUAGCGAAAUGCGAUAAGUAAUGUGAAUUGCAGAAUUCAGUGAAUCAUCGAAUCUUUGAACGCACAUUGCGCCCGCCAGCACUCUGGCGGGCAUGCCUGUCCGAGCGUCAUUUCAACCCUCGCGCCGUCCCUCCAGGGGGCUCGGCGCGGUGUUGGGGGACACGGCCCCGGCCGCCCCCGAAAUGCAGUGGCGACCCCGCCGCGGCCCCUCCAGCGCAGUAAGCACGCUCGCUACGGGAGGCCCGGUGGACGCGUCCGCCGUAAAACGCCCAACUCUUCAGAAGUUGACCUCGGAUCAGGUAGGGAUACCCGCUGAACUUAAGCAUAUCAAUAACGGAGGA
rnacentral:misc_RNA from 1 species